CAGUCGCCACGGUAAUACGUAGGCAGCGAGCGUUGUUCGGAAUUACUGGGCGUAAAGAGUGCGUAGGCGGUGCUCUAAGUCUGUCGUGAAAUCUCCCGGCUUAACUGGGAGGGUGCGGCGGAAACUGGAAUGCUCGAGUAUGGGAGAGGUAAGCGGAAUUCCUGGUGUAGCGGUGAAAUGCGUAGAUAUCAGGAGGAACACCUGUGGUGUAGACAGCUUACUGGACCAUGACUGACGCUGAGGCACGAAAGCGUGGGUAGCAAACAGGAUUAGAUACCCCUGUAGUCCCUGUCUCUUAUAC
rnacentral:rRNA from 1 species